GAAGGGCGGAGAGCGCAGCGGCGCCUCUGCGGCCGGGUCCAGCCAGGGGAGCCCGCGCCCCCAUCCAGCCCGCUCUAGCGCCCUGGGUCCCGGAGCAAAACUGGGAAAAGCCUCAGAGACGCCUCUGCAGAGUGAGUCCUCGCCUUGCCAGCGAGGGCAGAGAGCCCUCGGUAGCCAUGAUGUGGAAAGAACAGGCACGCAGUAUAAAAUCCAGGAAUAGGGCUGUCAAGAGAAUGGGAGCAAGACAAGCAGGCUAAGACCUUUGCUUUGAUUAUGGAUUGGCUGAUUGGAGUUCUGUAUUGUCUUUCUGGAAUAAAUGACACCCAUGGUGAGUCACCUACCAUUUCCAGUUUGGGUUUCUUUCAAGUGAAUCAACAACCUAAAGGCAAUUUUCAGGAUCAAUAUCCCUGAGGGAAGGGAGGAAUAGGUGAAGUUCAAGAAAUAGCUGAAGGCGGGUUGCCUGAUGUGGAGGCAAGGACCCAGUGUCGGUCCCGGGGCUGUGCAUGGCGGGGAAGGUGCAUCUCCGCAGCGUCGUGGCAAGUCUUCCAGACCUGUCUGCAGCUCUUCCUGUAACCAAGAGGCCUUUUCCUGUGUUUGAACUCACCACCAAUGGCUGUCCUACCAAAGCUCCUUUGUGCAGGCUGCCUUCUGUUCACCGACAGCUGCUUUGAGCGUCAGUCAGAGCAGCUCAUCUGCCAGGCUGUGCGCCUCUGGUCACAUCGCUCUGAGGCCUCCUGUUUGUCAGCUUCAAAGUGCCUCACAAGUGGUGACUUGCCUCCUUCCGGGUGGAUGUUAAAAGAAGGGGAAGCCUGGACAUACUCAUGACACCGCUGGAAUUAAGGCUGGAAGCUUCUAUCUCAUUUUGCAGAAGAAGCAAUCAGGACCAAAGAAGAGCGGUUGAAAACCACUGCCGGGCCUUGUGGCCAGUAAGUGGAAGAACGGGGGGCCCAGGUCUGCUCGCGUUUAGUCCCAAGGGGUUCUUGCCAGGCCUCACUCACAUUUAGAACUGUGUUUCUCAGGCAGUCAGCCUGCCUCAAAAGCACCUCAGGGAUGGUGACAUUUGAGAGGGGAUGGGGGAAGGGAGGAGAAUACUUACUGGAUGGAACUCCACCCUCCUCCUUCAAUGGGUCUCUUCUCUUUGGUCUCAUCCACUCAUUCACUCAUUCAUUCACUUAACAAAUGUCUGUUGAGCAGCUUCCAUGUGCCAGUGACUUCCAGACACUGGAGAUACAGCAAGGAACCAGCAAAGCCUGGGUUCCCACGAAACUUAUAUUCUGUUUUCUGUAUUAGUUUCUAAGUAAGAUUACUUUUUGGUCAAAGGGUUCUGUCCAUUUUUUUUUUCUUUUAAAGCAAAUAAAAUCUUUCCACUAUCUAGCUUUCAAAGCAUUAACUGGUACCUAUCAAACACCCACAACAUUAAGUAGAGAUUUUGCCACUACAUAAAACAAAUCAGCUGCUGAUCUUCCAGACUCUGACAGUUUAAAAUCUAUCAAGAAAAGACACCUAAAAAGAAAACUUGCCCAAGACAGUAUCACUCACUGACAAAUGUGGGAGUGAAAUAAAGAAACAAAUUGAUGGUAUAGAUGUUGAGCUGAACUCUUAUAGUCCAUUAUAUUGGUACCAGGGGUCACUAGUACAUUCUCUUCUCAAGAAUUCCAUGUAGAAUAGGAUAAGCAUGUGAUCCUUUAAAGUUGACCCCCUUUGUUUGGUGGUGAGUGGAGGUGGAUGUAACAGUUAACAGCCUUAUUGAGUUUCAGAGUCAAACUGUGAUUGCCACCAGCAAAUAUUCCUACCUGGGAGUUUUGGUUUGAAAAGUUUAAGGCCAAAAGUCGUAAACUAAGCAGGCUUCCUGAUGCUAGUGUAUUAAUUAUCUUUUGGGGUAUAACAAAUUACUCCAAAGCCUAGUGGCUUAAGAAAACAAACGUUUAUUAUCUCACAGUUUCUAUGGGUCAGGAGUUGAGGGACAGCUUAGCUGGGUGGUUUG